CAUGGUUGUCGUCAGCUCGUGUCGUGAGAUGUUGGGUUAAGUCCCGCAACGAGCGCAACCCUCGACCUUAGUUGCCAGCAUUCAGUUGGGCACUCUAAGGUGACUGCCGGCUAAAAGUCGGAGGAAGUGGGGAUGACGUCAAAUCAUCAUGCCCCUUAUGACCUGGGCUACACACGUGCUACAAUGGUUGGUACAACGAGUUGCGAGUCGGUGACGGCGAGCUAAUCUCUUAAAGCCAAUCUCAGUUCGGAUUGUAGGCUGCAACUCGCCUACAUGAAGUCGGAAUCGCUAGUAAUCGCGGAUCAGCACGCCGCGGUCGAAUACGUUCCCGGGCCUU
rnacentral:rRNA from 1 species